CAUUUUGCGAACGGCGAGCAGCGGCGGCGGCGCGGAGAGGCGCAGCGGAGGUUUUCCUGGUUUCGGACCCCAGCGGCCGGAUGGUGAAAUCCUCCCUGCAGCGGAUCCUCAACAGCCACUGCUUCGCCAGAGAGAAGGAGGGGGAUAAACCCAGCGCCACCGUCCACGCCACCCGCACCAUGCCGCUCCUCAGCCUGCACAGCCGCGGAGGCCGCAGCAGCGAGAGGUGUGGACGAUGAAAGGGUCGAGGCCUGGGCUGCUUCUGUGAAAAGACAGGUUCCUGGAUCACUAGGAAAAGGCUGCUGGAUUUCGAGGUCUCCACUGCAGCCUGAAAAGUGGAAAAGGGGAAGCUGAAGCCGCUCGACUUAGAAGUGGGAAGUAGAACCUGAUGCAGGCUUGGCUUGAGACAGUUUGUGGUGGUCUUAAGAUAAAGGUUCCAGGGUCUCCAUCAACUGCUGUAGUAACCUGGGUCCAGGGCCUCGGUGGUGCUCCUGAUGUCCCUCACCCACCCCUGAAGAUCCCAGGUGGGCGAGGGAAUAGUCAGAGGGAUCACAAUCUUUCAGCUAAUUUAUUUUACUCUGAUAAUCGGCUGAAUGUAACAGAGGAACUAACGUCUAAUAACAAGACGAGAAUUUUAAACGUCCAAUCCAGGCUCACAGAUGCCAAACACAUUAACUGGAGAGCGGUGCUGAGCAAUAGCUGCCUCUACAUCGAGAUCCCAGGCGGCGCUCUGCCCGAGGGGAGCAAGGACAGCUUUGCAGUUCUUCUCGAAUUUGCUGAGGAGCAGCUCCACGCUGACCAUGUCUUCAUUUGCUUCCACAAGAACCGCGAGGACAGAGCCGCCUUGCUCCGUACCUUCAGCUUUUUGGGCUUUGAGAUUGUGAGACCGGGGCAUCCCCUUGUCCCCAAGAGACCCGACGCUUGCUUCAUGGCCUACACGUUUGAGAGAGAGUCCUCUGGUGAGGAGGAGUAGUGUGAUGCCUGGGCCCUUGGCCUCGAUCGCAGUCCCUUGUGUGCGCUUUGUGCUGCGCCUCUGCGGGUGGUGUGAUUAACUGCGUGCUGACCCAUGUCAGCCUGCUUCACCUGCUGGGUUUGUCCGCAUGUUGUAAUUGUGCAAAUAAACGCUCACUCCAAAUUAGCCGUGUAUUUCUUGGAAGUUUAAUAUUGUGUUUGUGAUACUGAAGUAUUUGCUUUAAUUCUAAAUAAAAAUUUAUAUUUUACUUUUUUAUUGCUGGUUUAAGAUGAUUCAGAUUAUCCUUGUUCUUGGAGGAGGAGUUUCUUAUUUUGAAGUUUUUUGGAAACAGUCUUAGGUCUCUUAACUUGGAAAGAUAAUAAUCUACUCUUCUAUUGCUCUCAAAAAUCUGAAUAAAAGUGAUUAUUCCUCCAAGA